rnacentral:rRNA from 1 species
GUAACGUCAAGACUCAGGGGUAUUAACCCUAGGCUUUUCUUCCCUACUGAAAGUGCUUUACAACCCGCAGGCCUUCUUCACACACGCGGUAUUGCUGGAUCAGGCUUGCGCCCAUUGUCCAAUAUUCCCC